rnacentral:lncRNA from 1 species
AAAUAGAUCUAAUUUAAUUAACUUUUAUGACCACAGCUCCUUUGAGAUAACCAGGAGAGCCAAUUACAUUCCAUUAAAAUUCAGUUUCCCUAAAACUUCAAUGAGACACCCUUGUCUUCUCUAAGAAACAAGAGCAGCAACCAAAAUGUAAAAAGAUCUAAUUAGAAACAGCAGAAGAGUAGGUAUCUGUCUGCAGCAGGCUCUGCUAGUUGGUGUCACCAGGAGCUGCUCACAAGGCCCGCUCCAGUUUGUCACCCCUGAGCCUGGUGCUGCAGGCUGCAGAGCAAUUUAUUCCAGGUCAGUUCUGUAACUGCGGACCCAGACUUUAUCAUCAGUGAAAAGGACAAAAGAAGAAGGUGUUUCGUACUUUUGUGCAGAAGCUCAAGGUUAACGGGGCUUGCCUGGAUUGCAGGCCAGAGGUGAAGAGGAAUGUUCCCCCUUAUUCCUUUGCGACCCAUUCUGUAAUUUUGUUCCAAGUGUGGUGUGGGUUUAUUGUUUAAAGAGGGGGCGGGGAGGAUGGCUAAAGAUGCUGCCUGUAUCUAGGAAGAGUUUUUGUGCCCUUCUUUUCCUGUUGGUGAGCACACUUGAGAGGACUUUGUGUGCGGUCAAGGGGUGAUGAGUUUGUGGACUAGGAGUGCCACAUUCUAGUUCCUUCCUUCCCUUUCUUUUUUCCCUCCAAUAUUUUUAUCAUGGUAAGAUGCACGUAGCAGUUAGCACCUUGGCCAUUUUUGAGCAUCCAGUUCUGUGGCGGUGAGAACAUUUCAGGGCUGUCAACCACCACCACCACUACCUACCUCCAGAACGUUUUCAUCUUCC